GUGGGGGAUAUUGCACAAUGGAGGAAACUCUGAUGCAGCGACGCCGCGUGAGUGAAGAAGUAUUUCGGUAUGUAAAGCUCUAUCAGCAGGGAAGAUAAUGACAGUACCUGACUAAGAAGCCCCGGCUAACUACGUGCCAGCAGCCGCGGUAAUACGUAGGGGGCAAGCGUUAUCCGGAUUUACUGGGUGUAAAGGGAGCGUAGACGGAAUGGCAAGUCUGAAGUGAAAUCCUGCGGCUUAACUGCAGAAUUGCUUUGGAAACUGUCAAUCUGGAGUGUUGGAGAGGUAAGCGGAAUUCCUGGUGUAGCGGUGAAAUGCGUAGAUAUCAGGAAGAACACCGGAGGAGAAGGCGACUUACUGGACAAUAACUGACGUUGAGGCUCGAAAGCGUGGGAAGCAAACAGGAUUAGAAACCCGGGUAGUCC
rnacentral:rRNA from 1 species